UGAGGAACAUGACCUUCGGCGGGGGAUAGCCGGCCCAACGGCCGGGUAAUACCGCGUACGACCACAUGGGGACAUCCCUGAGUGGUGAAAGCAGCAAUGCGCCGAUGGAGUGCCUCGCGGCCUAUCAGCUAGUUGGUGAGGUAACGGCUCACCAAGGCGACGACGGGUAGCUGGUCUGGAGAGGAUGGCCAGCCACAGUUGGGACUGGAGACACCGGCCCAGACCUUCGUAACCGGGGA
rnacentral:rRNA from 1 species